UGUAUUGCUUCAAAUGGGACAUGUGGACAGAGAGGUCAUACUUGCAAUGAUACGUUUGGUAAAAAUUGGAUCAAAAAGGGAAGAUGUUGCAAUGGAGGACCAUGUUGUAAAUAAUAUAUGUAGGAUGAAAGGUGCCUACCUAUGGAAGCCAAAUACCGCAGCAGAAGCUAUUGCUGUUAAGAGUACGACGGGUUUCGGAGGCAAUCUAGAAAUAUGGACAGGUCUUUAUAGUCCCACAAGUGACGAGAACUUUUAAUUUGUCGAUGCUGGUGGUGCUUUUACAUUGGAUACUCUCCCAUUUGGAUUACGUGAUACAAUAGAUAACGACGACUGUGUGGAAUUUGAGUUAAGAGGUAAUCACUGGAGCUGGGAUGAUGAUCCGUGUCGUUGGGCACACCGCUAUAUGUGCGAAUUUCCAAUGAAAACUUGUCCGUAGAAAGAUACGUGGUAUAUAUGGUUGUCAUUAUGUUCUAAUGGAUGGAGAUUUCUUCUUCUUGGCGCCAAA